rnacentral:rRNA from 1 species
CUGGCGGCGCGCCUAACACAUGCAAGUCGAACGGACUUAGAGAGCUUGCUCUUAAGUUAGUGGCGGACGGGUGAGUAACACGUGAGCAACCUGCCUUUCAGAGGGGGACAACAGUUGGAAACGACUGCUAAUACCGCAUAAGACCACGGGAUGGCAUCAUCCAGCGGUCAAAGAUUUAUCGCUGAAAGAUGGGCUCGCGUCCGAUUAGAUAGUUGGUGAGGUAACGGCCCACCAAGUCGACGAUCGGUAGCCGGACUGAGAGGUUGAACGGCCACAUUGGGACUGAGACACGGCCCAGACUCCUACGGGAGGCAGCAGUGGGGGAUAUUGGACAAUUGGGGGGCAACCCUGAUCCAGCGACGCCGCGUGAGGGAAGAAGGUUUUCGGAUUGUAAACCUCUGUUGACAGGGAAGAAAAUGACGGUACCUGUUUAGAAAGCCACGGCUAACUACGUGCCAGCCGCGGC